UAAAAAUGAAAAAAAAAUGAUAUCUCUUGAACAUACUGGAUUUUUAGUCUAGUUGUCAUUCGUUCAGGGUGUUGAGCAAUUCGAUUUUCGGUUCAUGCAUGAAAUUGAUCAACCGAGUUUAGCAAGGUGAGUUAGUUUUCGACGAUUCUCGAAAUUUUAUCUCGGAAAUCGUUGCUGAGUUGACUCGUUAUUUCGGUGGCUCGGCCAAUUUGAAUCAAGACCUCUUCCAUUCUCGAUCACCGCCGUCUCUGUCGAUGUCGUCUUAUUCCGAGAACGACGCCGAGGCUCUCCGACGUAAGCGCAUCCUCUCCAGCAAGCUCUACUUCGACGUGUCCCCGUCCAAGGUUCCGCUAAUCUACUCCGAAUCCUAUGACAUAUCGUUUCUCGGCAUAGAGAAACUGCAUCCGUUUGAUUCGUCGAAGUGGGGACGCAUUUGUCGAUUCCUCGUUUCGUUUGGUAUUCUCGACAAAGAAAGCAUCGUUGAGCCUCUCGAAGCUUCCAAGGAUGAUCUUCUAGUGGUUCACACAGAAUUGUAUCUGAAUAGCCUGAAGGGGAGUUCAAAAGUUGCUAUGAUAGUUGAGGUCCCUCCCGUGGCAUUAAUUCCCAAUUGCCUUGUGCAACAAAAAGUUCUUUUCCCAUUCAAGAAGCAGGUUGGAGGAACUGUACUGGCUGCAAAACUUGCAAAGGAGAGAGGAUGGGCCAUUAAUGUGGGAGGAGGUUUUCAUCACUGCUCUGCAGAAAAAGGAGGUGGAUUCUGUGUUUAUGCAGAUAUUUCUCUUUGCAUCCACUUUGCUUUUGUUCAGUUGAAUAUAUCAAGGGUGAUGAUCAUUGAUCUUGAUGCACAUCAAGGAAACGGUCAUGAAAUGGACUUUGCCUACGAUAGCCGAGUCUAUAUCUUGGAUAUGUACAAUCCUGGAAUUUAUCCUUUGGAUUACGAGGCGAGAAACUACAUAAAUCAGAAAGUUGAAGUAAAGAGUGGGACACUUACAGAAGAGUACCUGCAAAAAUUAGACGAAGCACUAGAGGUUGCUGGGCGUAGGUUUAACCCUGAGUUGGUAAUUUAUAAUGCUGGAACCGACAUCCUACAAGGAGAUCCGUUAGGAAGGUUGGAGCAUACGCAGUGCUUGUGCUAUUUUAUAUACACAGAUCAGCCCCGAAGGAAUUGCCCUUAGAGAUGAAAAAGUUUUCCGGUUUGCUCGUGAGAAGAACAUUCCCAUCGUCAUGCUCACUUCAGGUGGCUACAUGAAAUCUAGUGCUAGAGUGAUUGCAGAUUCAAUAAUCAAUCUUUCUAAUAAAUGCUUGAUAGAAACGGGUGGAGCUCCAAAGUCUGCGUGAAGUGCUCUUGCACUUUUACGUUAUGAGAUUUCCCGUGGUUUACAGAUCAGUUCAUCAAAUGGCCCGUUAUGAGAGUUUUCCAUAUCCUUGGUAUUUGGUUUAUUGUGUGUUCUUUUAUUGGAAACUUUGGUGUAUAGUGUUUGAUAUAAAAAAAUAACUUAAAUAGUAGUAAUAUAUCCAUGAAAUAGUUGUAUAUUUAUGAAAAAGAAGAUAAAUGAGUUGUACUGUAUGUGAUGUACGUGUGAACAUAAUGGUGAUCACGUGGGUAAUAUAUUAGUAUCCCUGUAUCUUACCUACUUCA